rnacentral:rRNA from 1 species
AGAGUUUGAUCCUGGCUCAGGACGAACGCUGGCGGCGUGCUUAACACAUGCAAGUCGAACGAGAAUCUGCGGAACGAGGAUUCGUCCAAGUGAAGCAGAGGACAGUGGCGGACGGGUGAGUAACGCGUGAGGAACCUGCCUUUCAGAGGGGGACAACAGUUGGAAACGACUGCUAAUACCGCAUAACACAUGGGUGUCGCAUGGCACUGAUGUCAAAGAUUUAUCGCUGAAAGAUGGCCUCGCGUCUGAUUAGCUGGUUGGUGAGGUAACGGCCCACCAAGGCGACGAUCAGUAGCCGGACUGAGAGGUUGACCGGCCACAUUGGGACUGAGAUACGGCCCAGACUCCUGCGGGAGGCAGCAGUGGGGAAUAUUGGGCAAUGGGCGCAAGCCUGACCCAGCAACGCCGCGUGAAGGAAGAAGGCUUUCGGGUUGUAAACUUCUUUUGUCAGGGACGAGUAGAAGACGGUACCUGACGAAUAAGCCACGGCUAACUACGUGCCAGCAGCCGCGGU